rnacentral:tRNA from 1 species
UUACAGGUAGCUCAAUUGGUAGAGCAGCGAACUAGUAAUUCGUUUGUUGUGGGUUCAAAUCCCACCCUAUAAACCA